CGGUUCCAAUGCAAUGUAUUAAAGUACAAGGAGGUAUCAAGAAGGUACAGCUUCAAGGACUUGAAACCUUCACACUCGGCAAGUGGCUGUGCUGGAAAGAUUUGUUUUCCAGGUUUUAUCAGAAAUAAUUUCACACCAUUUCAGUGUUAAAAAUCUGUCAUCCCUGCCAACAUCAUCUGCACAAUGGAAAUGUGUGAACUACCACAAAAGGGGAUUUGAAAACAAAUUCAAGGGGAAAAAAAAUAACACCGUUUCUUUUAUCACCAUCCACACAGUCCUCUACCUCCUCAGUGUAAAAGGUCUGUACACAUUCUUUUGAAUGGCGAAUGAUGUGGACUGAGGUAAAGAAAAGCCUUCAAAUUUCUGUUGUAGACUCAAGAUCUAAUUUGUCCAGACUUGAAGUCUGCCUUAGCACAGAGACUUUAAGGGGAAAAUGUAAAGUGAAAAAGCUUUGACUACCCUUAGAAGAAACAGGGUAGCAAAUAGGGAACUUGAGAGAACCAAAACAACAGUUCAUCUAGUCAACAGGUUACUUCCUGUUUUCUGGGGCUGUAAAGGUAAAAGAAGACAGGUCAAAACCUCCUAAAAGCAGACAGAAAUUCUCAGUUUCUCAAUGCUUAGAGAAACAAAAAGUUGCUUUAAGCACACUGUGAAGUUUUUCUUUCAGUAUUCGUCAAAUUUUGAAAAUAUACAGGGUGUGAGCCUGGAGAUUUGGCUCUGAAGCACAGAACUAGAGUCACAACAGUAUUUCAUUCCAAAGAAAAAGAGGACUCACCAGGCUGUAAACCAGAUGUCUGGGAGAGCCAUACCCUUGAAACAAAGAUGAGCCAGAGACAGACUGUGUAACUUAAAUCCAAACUCAGCUUCAACCCAUCCUCCGUAGUAACACAGCCUUCUUAGAAGGACACCAGUCACUGGACUGGGGACCUCCCUCUAUUUCAGUAUGACCUCAGUAAUUACUAACACCUGCAAAGAUCCUAUUUCCAAGUGCGGUCACAUACUGAGAUUCCAGGUAGACAUGAAUUUGGAGGAAAACUCUUCACCCCAUUCCAGUUGGUACGCCCCAAAGAAAGGGAUUCUGCUUCUUUGCUAGAAUAAAGAAAACUCUGAAAGUCAUCAUCAUACUACUGGCAAGACCAUUCAGGAAGACAGACACCACUCCAAAUAUUUGAAACAGAAUUGAUUUAAUAACAUUGGUUACAGUGGCACUUGGAAGGUUGCAGCAGUCAAACCGGGGAAGAGGAAGUAACGCAGACGUUAGCACAGAAACAGCCCCUCCCACUCCUGCAUGUGAGCAGAGGGAAGUGAUGUUAUCAGAGCCCAGGGAUGCCAGCCACCCAGCAGCAGCUAAAGCAACAGUGAGCCUGCCAGGCACAAAGCGGACCCCUGUGGGGACAGAGCAGCCAGCAGGGGUGGAUCACGGCACAGCUGGAAGCCAACAUCACCUGGGAAAAUCAGCCUGAGAAUGCUGACACCUCUGCCAAGCAAGAGAGAGGCUGGGAACAGAUCGGUGGGCAAACUGGCCAUGGCCAUCCCAGCAAACAUGGAGGGAGGUUAAAAAAAAUCCUCAGAUGUUGCUUAUUAGGAUUUAAGCUUAAAAUUAAAUGUCUUAAGGAGUUA